rnacentral:lncRNA from 1 species
AUAUUUAUUUCUAUUAUUAUUAUUAUUAUUAAGAGAUGGAAACUUGCUAUGUUGCUCAGGCUAGAUUCAAACUCUUGGACUCAAGGGAUCCUCCUACAUCAGCCUCUCGAGUAGCUGAAACCACAGGGCUAAUCAAAAAUGGUCAUGAUGUGCACCUUGUCAAACCUAUUGCAAUCUCCC